rnacentral:sRNA from 1 species
AAUUUUUUAGAUAAAGAGAAGGAAAACAACUAAUUGAUCACAACCAGUUACAGAUUGCUUUGUUCCUUCUCCACUCCCACUGCUCCACUUGACCAGCUAAAA